rnacentral:snRNA from 1 species
GGAAGUGAGGGCGAUCUUGCUGUGACAUCGUCACUCCAUUGAUCACCAGGGUUGAUUCGGAUCUGACAGGUAAAUGGGUGUCCUGUUCCUCCCUCAUUGCUCCAUGUGCUUCUCUCCCGAAGCUGUGUGUUGAGAGAAGAGAACUGUACUUUGCUCAAGAGUACAGGAGUAGCUGUGCUCCCCUGCUAGAACCUCCAAACAAGCUCUCAAGGGUAGCAAGAACUGCAGAGUGGCUCAAGCAGUAAGAAAGCCUGCCUAGCAAGCAUUCAUGAAACCCU